rnacentral:rRNA from 1 species
UACAGAGGUGGCAAGCGUUGUUCGGAAUUACUGGGCGUAAAGGGCGCGUAGGCGGCCUUCUAAGUCAGACGUGAAAUCCCCCGGCUUAACCUGGGAACUGCGUCUGAUACUGGAUGGCUUGAAUUCGGGAGAGGGAUGCAGAAUUCCAGGUGUAGCGGUGAAAUGCGUAGAUAUCUGGAGGAAUACCGGUGGCGAAGGCGGCAUCCUGGACCGAUAUUGACGCUGAGGCGCGAAAGCUAGGGUAGCAAACGGG